CACACUCCCGGGGUCAGACACAGAGUGAAUCACCCUCCACACCGUCCCAUCACACACUCCCGGGGUCAGAAUGUGACUGACGUCAUAAUCAGAAUAAUUGCCUCAGUGGAAUUGCUCUCUGUUGCUUAUAACUCUGUAAAACCGAUCACCGGUCAAUAUGAGCAGUUGGAGCGUUCCUGACAACUGAACGCUGCUUCUGACAGAAUAUAGAAUAGGCAGCGAUUUACUACAACCCGAGCAUUUUCUAUCCUGCAAUUGUAGCGAUCGGUGUCCCUGGUUAGAUACUGGAGUUGGUCACUAAAUAUAUGGUGCCGUCGUCCUGCUUUUUGUUUCGCCGCGCUGUUCGGAAUUUUAUCAGCACGAAUGCUACCCUCAGUUUCGGUGUCCUUAUUUUUCCGAUACGGUGAUUUUUUUUCUCUUUUGUCAAAUACGUUGUUGCCGAUAUGGCCAUAGCUUCAUAGACUGAUCUUGCUCGGCUUUCUGAAGCGACAGUGGUCGCUUUUUCCAGAUCGGCAGCUUUUUUCAAAUGACCUUCCAGUCGAAAAUCGACACGCAGGUCAGUUCUUGCAUUAGCACUAAAUUGUAACGUGUGCUUUGGACCUCAUUAAUUUCACUUCAAUUUAACCCUUCCGCUGUUCCAUCUCUGAUAAUUGAAAUGGUGUUAAUUAUGAAGUGAUCUACCGUUCAGCGGUACGUGGGUCGUGGUAAUCAGAUGCCCCGCACCAAACUGUCGGAAGGUCGGCAACUCCGGUACGUUGCUGUCCCUCCAGCCGGGGUGCACCGAUGAAGCCGGGACAUUAUGGAUUUCAGUUUUUAUUUAUUUCCAAAAUGAAACUCCACCCUGCUAUAUCGAGAGAUACCGGCCACAUGACAGAUGCACUGCCACCUGGCUGUUCGGAGGACACACCACAUGCCAAUCAACAUUUGGUGCACUGCCACCUGGCGGAUCGGAGGACACAUCACAUGCCAAUCAACAUUUGGUGCACUGCCACCUGGCGGGUCGGAGGACACACCACAUGCCAAUCACCAUUUGGUGCACUGCCACCUGGCGUUCGGAGGACACACCACAUGCCAAUCACCAUUUUGUGCACUGCCACCUGGCGGGUGGGAGGACACACCACAUGCCAAUCACCAUUUGGUGCACUGCCACCUGGCGGGUCGGAGGACACACCACAUGCCCAUCAACAUUUGGUGCACUGCCACCUGGCGGGUCGGAGGACUCACCACAUGCCAAUCAACAUUUGGUGCACUGCCACCUGGCUGUUCGGAGGACACACCACAUGCCAAUCAACAUUUGCUGCACUGCCACCUGGCUGUUCGGAGGACACACCACAUGCCAAUCAACAUUUGUUGCACUGCCACCUGGCUGUUCGGAGGACACACCACAUGCCAAUCAACAUUUGGUGCACUGCCAGCUGGCUGGUCGGAGGACACAGCACAUGCCCAUGAACAUUUGGACCCUCCCAACUAAUCAAUGCACACCUAAAUUAUUGUUCACCUUAAUUGGAUUAUCUCGCCCAGCCCCAUGCUAUACAAGGUGAGACUUGUCCUUGGCUCGCUCUCUCUUACAGACCACCUCAUUGCAGGUAAGAGCAUUGAUUUAUGUUUGGGAAGGUCUAUCGUUUGUCCUGGUAAGGGAGCCGCGGCUAUCCAAGGUCAAGGGGGAUAGCUAUCGUAGUGUUUUUCCCUUGUUCUUUGUGUAACCGUACCCUGUCCCCACACCGCUUCCUGUGUAUUGUAGUUGCUUGUCUUGACCCGACUUCCCCUUGUAAAUAAAUCCCUUAUUAUUAAAACUGUGUGUGUCCAGGCCUCUACUGUUGAGACUCAAAGAACCAGUUAUUUUCCAUCACAACCCCUGCAUAGCGUUGGAAGAAUGGUGGGUAUUCAGAUAGUUGCAACUGAAGAUAAUUCUGUGUUGAUGCUUUUUUUUUCCUGAAAACUUCUUACAGUCAAUUUAACGGCGAUCGUGAUCCUAUCUCGGGGGAAAAUGCGGACUCUCCAAAUGCAUCACCCGUUACCAUGCUGGAAUGGCGACAGCGGAUCUGAUGGUGGUUCUCCGUUUCGCUUUGGUGGAUCAGACUAACAAAAUCUGCAUUUAUUCCAGAUCCCUGCUCCUCACUCCUGUAUGCCCUCUGGCUCUUGUAUUUCACGUUGUCACCGGGGACUGUUCUGUUUGGUUUACAGUCAGUUUUACUUUCGAUCGUUUCAUCGCGAUAAACCGGAAUCCUCGGGAACGAUACUGCACUGAGAGAACAGCAAGAGUCGUCAUGGUGACUGUUGUUAUAGUGAGCUGCGGGAGAUGUGUCCCGUUUAACUUUGCUGUUGAACCUUACGUCAUCACUGACAACACGUCGUGGCGGUGCGCCCCCGUGUUGAGAGGAUACGAAGUGUUGGACCGCAUUUUAACACUGUUGCUACCUAUCGGCUUAAUUCUGGUGUUCAAUGCGUUAACAGUGAGACCUAUCAUUGUGGCAAAUAGAGUCCGCAGAGGUCUUCGGAACAGCAGUGAAAAUCAGCAGGAUACCGAGAGAGAAAACCGCAGAAAAUCGAUGAUUUUGUUGUUUGCUGUAUCAGCUAAAUUCAUUUUAUUUUGGAUACCCUAUGCAGGUCAUUCCUUGAAAUAGCAAACGGAAAACUAUUUGUAUCAGGACAGAUAUUUGAAUUCCCCGGUAUAUACACUACAACAACUUGGGUUCAUGUUGCAAAUUCUGAAUAUGUGCACCAAUACUAGUAUCUACACACUGACACAGAGGAAAUUCGGAAAGGAACUGAAGAAUGGAAUGAAGGAAUAAGUGGUGAAAUUUGACGAGCUGUGUCGAUAGGAUUGUCUUUGUUCGGGGAACGGAAAAGCGGUACUGUGGACGAUACCGAGAUUCCUCGAUGGUGUGCGGUCGUUAUCGUCACCAGGAUAUCGGUGCCUUUAACUCAUCUGCCUUUCCUACGACAUUUCCGGCAUUGGAACAUGCGCUGCUAUGCACAUUUGCCUCACAGACCAAGCCUAUGUCUCCGCAGUCACAGAUGAAACGGAUAAGACAGGCCAAAGGGGCUCUGGUAAAGCUCUUUACGCCCAUUCCCUGCACAGUUGAUGGAGCGCUGAUGACUUCCAACCAGACGGCCAACCCCAAA